GAGGGUACAGCUCAAGUGGUAGAGUGCAUGCUUAGCAUGCACAAGGUCCUGGGUUCAGUCCCCAGUGCCUUCU
rfam:Camelus ferus unplaced genomic scaffold scaffold156, whole genome shotgun sequence.